CGAGUCUUUGAACGCAAGUUGCGCCCCAAGCCAUUAGGCCGAGGGCACGUCUGCCUGGGUGUCA
rnacentral:rRNA from 1 species